AAGUCGUAACAAGGUUUCCGUAGGUGAACCUGCGGAAGGAUCAUUAAUAAAUGCGUGGGAAGGUAUGCGGGGAAGGGUGUCCUUGGUAGAGGUAUACUGCCUCCCGAAAUGAGGGACACGCCAACCGCAUUCCGGAACACACAGUUACACCCUUGAUUAUUUACAAUUGUUGCUUUGGUGGACCGCCUCCGGGCGUGGGCCUUGGCCUGCCGUGUCCGCCAGAGGACCCAAACUCUGUUUUUAGUGACGUCUGAGUACUAUAUAAUAGUUAAAA
rnacentral:misc_RNA from 1 species